rnacentral:lncRNA from 1 species
GGCACACAGAACGGAACUUGGUCAGACCCAUGCUGUACUUCUUGUGGCCCACAAAGCAGUUCAAAUCCAGAGUGUGGGGGACCUGGAUUUUGGAUCACCAAUUCCAGCUGGCCUUCCCUUGGAAUUGAUGGCCUUCAUUCUUGGUCACUUAUCUAACCCACCGUCUAUUUUGGCAUAUUUUUUUGGAUGAAAUAUUUUGGCACUGUUUGGUUGGC